rnacentral:rRNA from 1 species
CACGUAGGGCGCAAGCGUUGUCCGGAAUUAUUGGGCGUAAAGAGCUCGUAGGCGGUCUGUUGCGUCCCCUGUGAAAACUCGGGGCUUAACCCCGAGCCUGCAGUGGAUACGGGCAGACUAGAGGUAGGUAGGGGAGAAUGGAAUUCCCGGUGUAGCGGUGAAAUGCGCAGAUAUCGGGAGGAACACCUGUGGCGAAAGCGGCUCUCUGGACCACAACUGACGCUGAGGCGCGAAAGCUAGGGGAGCAAACAGG